GCGGGAAUGCUGGAAUUGGCAGACAGGCAAGACUAAGGAUCUUGUGUGAGUUUCACGUAGGGGUUCAAGUCCCCUUUCCCGCA
rnacentral:tRNA from 1 species